rnacentral:tRNA from 1 species
GUUAGGGUGUCUGAAUUAAAGGUAGUAAAUUGUAAAUUUACUUAUAGAUAUAAUAAUCUUCCUAAUA